CACCGCUUAGAAUCUUUAGAUUUUAAGGCUUCAUGAUAAAAACUAGGUUCAGUUUCAAAUUCAUCUUGAUAAGUGAACAAAGACACAAAGUUAUCACUAUUAAACCUAGCUGGUGGUCUAAUUUGUCUCCUAUCCCUGUCUCUAGUGAACUGGUAUUCAUCUAGAGGUGUGUUAUCAUCAUUAUACUACUCAGGUUCAGCCAAAUCAGGCUUGUUUUCACUCUGAUCAGCCUCAUAAGUUGCUAUUUCUAAGGGGACAAAAUUGAUAUUUUCGAUUUUAAUAGGCUCCACCUCAACUUAGAUAUCAUUUUCAGUCAAAUUUCCCUCUUUCCCUUCCAAACAUGACAUACAUGACUCAUUAAAACCACAUCCCUUCUUAUAAUAACCUUGUAACCUUUUUCCCCAUAAACUCAAAGCCUAUAUCCUUUUACAUUUUUAGCAUAACCUAAAAACACACAUUUAAGGUAUCUAGGUUCAAGUUUUCCUAUGUUUUGAUGAGCAUAUGUAGCAUAACCAAAUGUUUUCAAAUAAGAAUAGUUCACAGGCUUUUUGUGUCCACACAGAUUCAAGCACAUCAAAAUUUAAAGCAAUUGUAAGACUUCUAUUAAUCAAAUAUGCAGCAGUUUUAACAGCUUCACCCCAAAAUAAUUUGGGCAAAUCGAAACUCAAAAGCAUGCAUCUAACUUUAUUCAACAAAGUCCUAUUCAUUCUUUCUGCAAUGCCAUUUUGCUGGGGUGUGUAGGUCACAGUUCUAUGUCUUAAAAUGCCAUUCAACUUGCAAAAUUCAUUAAACUGAUAAUCGCAAAAUUCUAGACCAGUGUCGGUUCUCAAAGUUUUGAUUUUCAAAUAAGUUUGAUUUUCAAUUUAGGUUUUCCAAUAUUUAAAUGUGGCAAAUGUUUCAUCUUUAGUUUUCAAAAGAAAUACCCAAAUUUUUCUAGAGAUAUAAUCAAUUAUAAACAAG
rnacentral:lncRNA from 1 species